rnacentral:rRNA from 1 species
UACGGGGGGGGCAAGCGUUGUUCGGAAUUACUGGGCGUAAAGGGCGCGUAGGCGGCCAACUAAGUCGGACGUGAAAUCCCCGGGCUCAACCCGGGAACUGCGUCCGAUACUGGAUGGCUUGAAUCCGGGAGAGGGAUGUGGAAUUCCAGGUGUAGCGGUGAAAUGCGUAGAUAUCUGGAGGAACACCGGUGGCGAAGGCGGCAUCCUGGACCGGUAUUGACGCUGAGGCGCGAAAGCCAGGGGAGCAAACGGG